UACGAAGGGGGCUAGCGUUGCUCGGAAUCACUGGGCGUAAAGGGCGCGUAGGCUGCGGGGUAAGUCGGGUGUGAAAUCUCAGGGCUCAACCCUGAAACUGCACUCGAUACUGCUCUGCUUGAGGACUGGAGAGGAGACUGGAAUUCACGGUGUAGCAGUGAAAUGCGUAGAUAUCGUGAGGAAGACCAGUGGCGAAGGCGGGUCUCUGGACAGUUCCUGACGCUGAGGCGCGAAGGCCAGGGGAGCAAACGGG
rnacentral:rRNA from 1 species